UCCAUUUUUUUUCCAUGGGAAGUUUCGUGUGUAAGGAGUGUUGCAUUUAUGAAUCUAAGCUACUUGUGAAACGGAAAAUAUCUGGAGAAGGGCAGAAGGAAAAACCUACUUUCCUUUUGAAUCAAACAGUAGGGAAAAUACGAAAAACAGAUUUUAUUCAAACAGCUGUUUAAUCUUCCAGAAUAAAGGAAAAUAACCGUCUAGUGGAGCAAUUUUUUGAAUGGGCUAGGUGAUUUAUAGCCCUUCUAUUCUUUUACCCUUUGUUUGGAUUGAAGGAAUGGAAGAGAGAAGAGAGAAGAAGAAAUUUGAUUUCCAUAAAUUCUCUUAUUUGGAUACCAAAUAGAGGAGAUUAAAGAAGAGAAAAGAGGAAAAAUUACAUUUCCCAAUUCCUUGUAUUUAACCCAAAAUACUUCUCCCAAAGUAGUGGGAAAAUGGAGAGAUAUUGGUAUUAUUUGUAUUAAAAUACUUAAAUGCCCUCUUUUCUUUAAGCAUCUAUUUCUUAGCUUGUGAGAGUAUAAUAGUCAUUUCUCACCUUUUUUUCAGAAGAAAAAUUAUAUUUCUCCUAUAUUCUAAUAAUCUAUCCAAACAAUAUUAAUUAAAUCAAAUUUCUUUUCUCUUUAUUCACAGCUAAGAAACAUGGGCGCUUUUUUUAUCCCUUUCCUGUUUACGUCAAAGACUCAUGCAGCUUGUCUGUUGCGUUACUUUUGCUGUCUUCUUUUUUUCUAAAAGCAUCUAUGUCUUAGCUUGUGAGAGUAUAAUGGUUAUUUUUGACCUUUUUUUUUUCAAAAGAAAAAUUAUAUU